GACGAACGCUGGCGGCGUGCUUAACACAUGCAAGUCGAACGGAAAGGCCCUGCUCUUGUGGGGUGCUCGAGUGGCGAACGGGUGAGUAACACGUGAGUAACCUGCCCUUGACUUUGGGAUAACUUUAGGAAACUGGGGCUAAUACCGGAUAGGAGCUCCUGCUGCAUGGUGGGGGUUGGAAAGUUUCGGCGGUUGGGGAUGGACUCGCGGCUUAUCCGCUUGUUGGUGGGGUAGUGGCUUACCAAGGCUUUGACGGGUAGCCGGCCUGAGAGGGUGACCGGCCACAUUGGGACUGAGAUACGGCCCAGACGCCUACGGGAGGCAGCAGUGGAGAAUAUUGCACAAUGGGCGGAAGCCUGAUGCAGCAACGCCGCGUGCGGGAUGACGGCCUUCGGGUUGUAAACCGCUUUCGCCUGUGACGAAGCGUGAGUGACGGUAAUGGGUAAAGAAGCACCGGCUAACUACGUG
rnacentral:rRNA from 1 species